GCACUUUUGUCCCUGCACGUCAUUCUAACCGUGGGAAUGUGGGUCCUGAGGUCUAAACUCUCAGCUGUGAAUACUAAUUUGCGGCAUGAUGGUGAGGUGAAACGACAGAGGCUCAUGGCACGUCAUUGCAGAAUAUCCACUAGAAUUUCACAAGUCACCAGUCAUGGAUUUCAGGAUCUGACUGCUUGUCAUCUUGGGAGACAUCAGGAUCUGACUGCUUGUCUUCAUGGGAGACGUCAGGUACUGAGUUCCUGAAUGUAUCCUCCGUCUACGGGAGAGAGGGGGCUCUGGUCCUGACUUGGCUUCCUCCUGUCUUUGCUGAUGGAAGCUGGGUUUUGAUGAGAAACUUCUCCUGGCAUGCUAAAGUCUACUCACAGCAAAUGUAAAGUCUUAGAGGUCGAAGGCCUUGAUAACUGCCUUUCCUGACCUUGCACUGUUUCUAGUGAGUUUAAUUUAAUACAAAGCAAAACAAGUUUGAUGAUAGCCUCUGGCUGACUGCUGGAACCCACCACGCACAGGAAUUCAUGACUGAGUGACAGCAGGGGCACUUCCCUCAUCACACAUGACGCGCAAGCCACCCAGCGAGGCACUUCAUCUCCAGGUUGACAGUUCCUGGCUGACUCGGGUCUGCCACCUGGAAGAGCGUCUGUAAUUCUGUAUUGUGGAACAGAAAACAAUGUGCAGAAAACAUUCUUUAAAACAGAAGUACGAAGUACUUGGAGGCACCUUUAUCAUAUUCCACAUCCUCAACUUUAUUUGCUUUUUUCUUCUCUUCCAUGGAUCUUCCUAUUUCUGCAUCAUGAUGAGAGUGUUUUAAUUUUUAUAACUGAAGAGUACACUUUAGUAUCUCAUUUUAAAUGAUGGUGUUCCAUACUUUUACUUCUUCUUCCAAAAAACAAUUACGGAAAUUUCUUCAAGUUCUAAGAAAAAUACUGUGUCUUUCCUUUUCCCAGUAUGUUCUCUAUACCCAUAGGUGUCCUUAAAAUACUGCCUAAGACAUUCCCUAUUGAGAAGGCCCCAGCCAGCUAGCUGUUCCCAGUGCUCCUGCCUCCACGCUCACGGACUGUGGGUCCCGGCGGAAUGUGGCUCCAUGGACAGAGGGUCUCUGCUUCACACCCCGCUGCACCCCCAGGGCCGGAGAGGUGCUUGCAUGGAGGAGCUAUUCAAUACGUUUAGUUGAAUGAACAAGCAAAUGAAUGAACAAAAUAUUGUUUAAAGUAUCCAUGUUACACCAAAAAUAUAAUGCAAUUUUCUGAUGUCUUAAAUCAAAUUCUCCAGUGGCAAUAAACAUAACAAGAACUCACCUUUUU